rnacentral:tRNA from 1 species
GGCGAUUUAGCUCAGUUGGUUAGAGCGUGUGCUUAACACUAGCAACCCGCCUCUUCGGAGAGGGAGUUGAAGCGUUGCGCACAAGGUCGGCGGUUCGACCCCGUCAAACGUCA